GUAAUUGCUGAAUGUUCACUAUUAUUAUCACCAUGAAGUACAGAAGAUUUGCUGGAAGUCCUAGGAAAGACCAGAUUCUACCUGAAGCCACUUAACAUCUAGCCCACCAAUGAGUCACAGCACAGGCUAGUAAUUUCUUACUAAAGAAAAGUAGGUUCUAACAAAUCUGUAAGUACCAGUGUCCUCACCAGAAAGCAUUGUUGUGCCUGCUUAAUCUCCUCAUUUGUUCCCAAUAUAUAUUUGGAGCUCAGGGACCAGCUGCUGUGUCAUGAGUAUUAGCUGUCACGAGGUUUAGUGGCAGCAAAUACCCAUGCCAGUCCACUCCCAGAAAGAUCAGAAAAAUGCAAGUACUAUAGGUGAAAACCAGGGGACCCUGAGGCUGGUUCCCUUUUUUUCCUUUUUGAAAGUUGUGUAUUUAUGUUUGGAAUAGUGAUUUGCAGUGGGAAGGCCGGCGAAGCAGUGGAAAUCUGUGUUCAGUGGCUGAUGAGUGGCUUUUGACCACCAUAAUUUUCUUCCUGACAUGUUUGACAAGAGCAUUGUUGUCUUCUUAGCAUCGUGACACUAUCUGGGCAGACACCUGCACAUGCUUGUGAAAACUGGAUGGCAACUGCCCCUUCACACCUGUAAGAGUUGCUUCUCCAUGACAACUCACAGAGCAACCAGAGGUAUUUUUAGUAGAGAUGGGGUUUCACCAUGUUGGCCAGGGUGGUCUCAAUCUCUUGACCUCAUGAUCCGCCUGCCUCAGCCUCCGAAGUGCUGAGAUUACAGGCAUGGGAGUGCUUCUUUAGAAGGGCAUUUAAAGGAUAGGUCAAGAGGCUUUUAAAAGUUGGUUUUGGAUUUUCAAUGCCCCUCCAUCACCAAAAGAAAAAUGAUCUUUCGUUCAGAGAAUUUCACUUUGAAGAGCAGAGGCAAAAGGAGAUUCACAGAGGGGCAGGAGCCGUCAAUGCUGUCUCGUGAGAGGAGAGAAGAGGCAUUAUGUGAUCUAACAUCCUUGAACACGUUUAUUACGAUCUGUCAUCUACAUAGCAACAGACAGGGCCAUGCUCAUAAACCAGAACUGGCACUAGAUCUGUUGACCUGAUGUCUGCAACAGCAAGCUUCUCUUUAUUUCCUUUCAACACUAAAUGAUAUCAGCUGGUCAAUGAAUGUAUCAACGAAGCUUCUUCUGCAAAGAACGUCUUUCUUAUUUUGAUUUCAUUUGACCCCACAAUGGUAAUAUUAGGAGAAGGGGCUGGGUGUGGUGGCUCACACUUCUAAUUUUAGCACUUUGGGAGACUGUGAUGGGAGGAUCACUUGAGCCCAAGAGUUUGAGAUUAGCCUGGACAACAUAGAAAGAACCCCAUCUCUAAAAAAAAAUUAGCUUGGCAUAGUAGGCAUGCCUGUAAUUCCAGCUACUGGGGAGGCUGAGGUGAGAAGAUCACUUGAGUUCAGCAGUUCAAGGCUGCAGUGAGCUAUGCCUAUGACACUGCACUCUAGCCUGGGCAACAGAACGAGUCCCCAUGUCUAAAAAGUGUGUGUGUGUGUGUGUGUGUGUGUGUGUGUAUUAAGAGGUGGCAGAUGUGCUAGACAUUUGGCUCCACUUCACUUCAGAUGGUCUGAAUACCAGCAUCAGUAUCACCUGUAUGACUUUUUGCUAUGGAGAAUCUCAGGUCCCACCCAGACCUACUGAAUCAUAAUCCGCAUUUUAACAAGAACUGAGGUAACUUAUAUAUUAUACAUAUUAAAAGUUUGGAAGCACUGGUUAAAAUAACCAUGGGUUCCACUAGAAAUCAUAACAAGGUAGUUUCCCAAUACUGGUUUCAGCAACCAGUCAAGAUUAUUACAAUUCAAUUUAAGUAGAAAAUGU
rnacentral:lncRNA from 1 species